rnacentral:lncRNA from 1 species
CAGAGGGGGUAAAGUGGACUGGGGAGAACUUCGGAGGAUGUUCAUGUCCAGGAGCAGCCCCACGCCCUGUAUGGUCGGUGUCUAGAGCCUCACAGCAACUAAGACCAACCCAGCUCUCAGAAGAAGGAAUGUCAAAAUGUCAUGUUCAAUUUUACAUUCAGUGCCUGGAAUCUUUUCUUCACAAUUGAAAUGAAAUGUGCUGAAGGAGGUGAAUCCAUGCAUUAAUCUUCAGCUCACAAAGGAAAUACUACAUAAGAAGCAAGGACCACAGACUCAAGAAGGACAUAAUUGGAUUUUUUUUGCCAUGGCCUGGAAAGAAAGGUACACACAGUUAACCACAAAACAGGCCUCUCUGAAAAAGCCAUUGCCAUGGACUGCCAGACAGACAAUGACAAGACACAAAUACCUUCUGGUGUGUGAGCCACGGGACAUGUGAGCUUCCCCGCUGAUGCUCCUCUUAUAUCAAAGAUCACUUUCACAACAUGAGCGACUAUCUUUUAUCAAACCAAUGAUCACCUGCAAGCUAUGGUAUAUUUUUGCAGCUGUGUAGAGCUAUGUGGCAUGAGAAUGUGGGACUUAUAAAUUGCUGAUCCAAUAAAUAGACAUUAUGGGCAACAGUGUCUUAUCAGCUAGUGUGUACUAAGGUUUCAGGAACAGUUGUUCUGACCUUACUAUCCAACGAGGAGUAACUGAUUCACUUCUCAGAGGUAUAUUAACCUAAUUUGGACAUCACAGAAUGCCUGAAAAAUAAUUCUUCAGUGCAUUAAACAGUCCCCUGGAUCUAUUAAAGUAAGCUUAUUCAUAAAAUACUAUAUUGCCUGUUUUUGUCAUUGCCGUAUGCCAGCCAGAUUUUUUAAUGACAUUGUGAAAAUAAAAGGUAUUUUUAAAGGGAAGGAUCAAAAAUACUUCCCCAAAGAGCAUUUUCAA